rnacentral:rRNA from 1 species
CAGUCGCCACGGUAAUACGUAGGGUGCAAGCGUUAAUCGGAAUUACUGGGCGUAAAGCGUGCGCAGGCGGUUAUAUAAGACAGAUGUGAAAUCCCGGGCUCAACCUGGGAACUGCAUUUGUGACUGUAUAGCUAGAGUACGGCAGAGGGGGAUGGAAUUCCGCGUGUAGCAGUGAAAUGCGUAGAUAUGCGGAGGAACACCGAUGGCGAAGGCAAUCCCCUGGGCCUGUACUGACGCUCAUGCACGAAAGCGUGGGGAGCAAACAGGAUUAGAUACCCCCGUAGUCCCUGUCUCUUAUACA